rnacentral:rRNA from 1 species
GAUCCUGGCUCAGGAUGAACGCUGGCGGCGUGCUUAACACAUGCAAGUCGAACGAAGAUGCCGGAGUGCUUGCACUUUGGCAGACUGAGUGGCGGACGGGUGAGUAGCGCGUGGGUAACCUGCCUUAUACAGGGGGAUAACAGUUGGAAACGACUGCUAAUACCGCAUAAGCGCACGGUAUCGCAUGAUACAGUGUGAAAAACUCCGGUGGUAUAAGAUGGACCCGCGUCUGAUUAGCUUGUUGGUGAGGUAACGGCCCACCAAGGCGACGAUCAGUAGCCGGCCUGAGAGGGUGAACGGCCACAUUGGGACUGAGACACGGCCCAAACUCCUACGGGAGGCAGCAGUGGGGAAUAUUGCACAAUGGGAGAAACCCUGAUGCAGCGACGCCGCGUGAGUGAUGAAGUAUUUCGGUAUGUAAAACUCUAUCAGCAGGGAAGAUAAUGACGGUACCUGACUAAGAAGCACCGGCUAAAUACGUG